CUCCCAGCAUGGCACCACAGUAUGCAGCCUGCUCUCGCUCCUGCACAAGCAUGAAACACAUUCAGGUAUGCCAAUGCAACGUAACAUUGCUGCUACCCCAAAUAUCCAAGGAACCUUAGGGCACAUUGACAAGACGAGGCCUGACACCGCAGAACCCCAUCAGCUGUUUAUGUCCCAUGUCAUCCAAAUGCAAACAGAAACACGGGAUGGCACACAUUAAGGCCCAGCCACCAUCAUCUCUGUGUGACUCUUCUUUCCCUCCUGUGAUAACCCCUUCUGUCACAAGUACCAGUCAGAUGAGUCUCCAAAUCUCCCUGAACGGGUCUGCCAAGGAAUUAACCAUGAAUAAUAAUCCAAUUGAUCUCCUGGUGGAUUCUGCUUCCCCUGUUACUACACCAGGCAUUGGAACUGAAGAUGGGAAAGCAAAGUUCUUGGAAGCUCCCCUCCAUGACAACAUGACAAACCCCAAAGAGAAAAAACGCCAAUGUGUUUGGUGAAUGAGUUAGCCCGCUUUAACAGAAUUCAGCCCCAAUAUAAACUUUUGGAUGAAAGGGGACCAGCGCACUCCAAGUUAUUUACUGUUCAGUUGACUCUGGGAGAGCAAACAUGGCAAGCUGAAAGUACAAGCAUUAAGAAGGCUCAACAUGCUGCUGCCAGCCUGGCCCUCUCUGAAACCACACUCCCCAAGCCUGCAGCUAGGCACAGCAAAAACCACAUGAACAAUAA